GUAGUCUGCAACUCGACACAUGAAGCUGGAAUCGCUAGUAAUCGCGAAUCAGAAUGUCGCGGUGAAUACGUUCCCGGGUCUUGUACACACCGCCCGUCACACCAUGGGAGUCAGUAACGCCCGAAGCCGGUGACCCAACCGAUAAGGAGGGAGCCGUCGAAGGUGGGAUCGAUAACUGGGGUGAAGUCGUAACAAGGUAGC
rnacentral:rRNA from 1 species